rnacentral:lncRNA from 1 species
UUCCUCGGGAUUCCCCGGGAGAGUUACUUCCAGACCCGGCCGCUGGAGCAUCAGGGCGGGGCCCCUCAUCACCACUGGGCUCCUUGGGGCAGUGAGCUCUGCCUAGGCUCUGGUCCCCGCGGCCAUGUGUUUGGCUGAUGAACUGUGGUUUAUCCCCAGGUCGUGAUGGAGCUCGAAGAAGACCUUAACGGAAGAGCAGACAAGAACUUCUCAAAGAUGGGCAAAAAGAGUAAAAAGGAGAAGAAAGAAAAGAAACCAGCGGUCAGUGUGCUCACAAUGUUUCGCUAUGCAGGUUGGCUGGACAGAUUUUACAUGCUGCUGGGAACUCUGGCGGCCAUUAUCCAUGGAAUUGCGCUCCCACUUAUGAUGCUGGUCUUUGGAGACAUGACAGAUAGCUUUGCAAAUGUAGGAAACAACCGUAGUAUGAGUUUCUACAAUGCUACAGACAUAUAUGCCAA